rnacentral:rRNA from 1 species
CUUCCGUAGGUGAACCUGCGGAAGGAUCAUUAGUGAACCUGCGGAAGGAUCAUUAACGAAUCUUUGAAUUUUAAUAUUCUUACUAUUCGUGAACUUUAUGAUUUGUUUGGGGAUGAACCGAAAGGCGAAUCCCCAAGUUUAAAAACCAUUAAAUUUGUUGACUGAAGUAUAUGAAUAUUAAAUUCUUAAAACUUUCAACAACGGAUCUCUUGGUUCUCGCAUCGAUGAAGAACGCAGCGAAAUGCGAUACGUAAUGUGAAUUGCAGAAUUGUGAAUCAUCGAAUUUUUGAACGCACAUUGCACCUUUUGGUAUUCCAAAAGGUAUGUCUGUUUGAGCGUCAUUUCUUCUCACUUCAACAAUUGUUGUUGUGUGUUGACUGUUGCUUUUUCAAGCAUCAGUUGAAAAGGAAUCGCAAGUCGAGUAUAACGUUUUAGGUCUAACCACUCGUUAAAUAAAGACUGGUCGAUAACAAUCCCGACUCUAAUAAAAAUUUUGACCUCAAAUCAGACAGGAUUACCCGCUGAACUUAAGCAUAUCAAUAAGC